GUGACAUACCUAUUUGUUGCCUCGGCGGUGCCUGUUCCGACAGCCCGCCAGAGGACCCCAAACCCUGAUUACAUUUAAGAAGUCUUCUGAGUAAACCGAUUAAAUAAAUCAAAACUUUCAACAACGGAUCUCUUGGUUCUGGCAUCGAUGAAGAACGCAGCGAAAUGCGAUAAGUAAUGUGAAUUGCAGAAUUCAGUGAAUCAUCGAAUCUUUGAACGCACAUUGCGCCCGCUAGUAUUCUGGCGGGCAUGCCUGUCCGAGCGUCAUUUCAACCCUCAAGCCCCCGGGCUUGGUGUUGGGGAUCGGCGAGCCUCCGCGCCCGCCGUCCCCUAAAUCUAGUGGCGGUCUCGCUGUAGCUUCCUCUGCGUAGUAGCACACCUCGCACUGGGAAACAGCGCGGCCACGCCGUUAAACCCCCAACUUCUGAACGUUUGACCUCGGAUCAGGUAGGAAUACCCGCUGAACUUAAGCAUAUCA
rnacentral:rRNA from 1 species